AAACAUUUAAUUUACUUCCCCAUACAGCAGCUAGCAUAUACAAGGUGCAAAAGCGAUGGUGCUCUAAAAACAUAAUUGUUCUUCAUAACCAAACUUCAAAUUCAUGAAGAUUUUCAUUAGACAACUUGAAAGGCUAAAGCAUGGAGGACAUGGAAGAAGAAAGUUCUGGUCUAAAUGACGACCACAACCAUAACUACUGUGAAAACCGUACCAGUGGACAAGUUCACUAUCUCAGGACCGAACUGUCAAAUGAACCCCAGACACUACCAAUUUUUCCGGUUCUGGGCACGCGAGAUGUAGCGGCGCAGGAGAACCACGCAAAGAUUUGUUCCAGUUCCAGCAGUGGUUCAAAGUUCGUGGAUUCAGACUCUAACAGCGUGAACAGUGACACCAGCGAGACUGACAGUGCAUCGCCAGCUUCCAUCGCAGGGAAACUGACCCUGAACUGCGCCUCAAAGUUUCUAAUGAAUGCAAUGACCGAAGAGGACUAUAGAACCACAUACUGGCCGAACCUGGAGAAAGCCAUUGACCACCUGCUGAUACAAAACCCCAUGGACCACAUCUCCAUUUCAUAUGAGCAGAUAUACAGUUAUGUGUACAAGUGUGUUUGUCAACAGCACUCAGAGCUACUGUACAAAGACUUGAUGCUGAAGAUUACUACCCAUCUUCAACAAGUCUCAUCUGAUUUACAAAUUGUUCCACCAGGGAAUUUCAUUGAGCAUUUUAACAUUGCUCUGACUCAGUACACAGAUGCUCUUCAAUGCAUAGUUCCUGUAUUCAUCUACAUGGAUUGAAUCAUUUGCCAUUGUCUACUUAUGAUAAAGAAUAAGUUCUACAUUGAAACGAAGCUAAACCGACACCUGCGAGAAGAUCUCAUGAAGCUUUUUACUGAUCAUGUUGCAGAAAAACAUGUGAACACGCUGAUACCUCUUCUCCUCGAAGCCCAUUCCAUGCCUUUUCAAGUCAGACCUUCAACAAUGGCCAGUGUCGUGAAAGGCCUGUAUACUCUUCGGCCAGAUUGGGCACAUUUAGCCCCAGCUCUCUUCUCUGGAUUCAUUCCUCAAAUCAACCCGCCGACAGUGGAAUCCCAGCUCUCUGACUAUGCUGCUCAUGACCAGAAACUACAAAUGGAGCUCUCUCUGAAUGGCUUUCCCAGAGGUGACCAGUCUCGCAAGAGAGCCAGCGAGGAGUCUGCAUAGAGUGCUCAGACAGUCAUCGACCUGGCUCAACCCAAAUUCACAAAACACUGAACGAUUAAGAUUCUCUGAUGCCGAGUGCAGUGGGUGAGCAUAAGCAUGGGCUCGUUUUUGACCCACAAGAGUCGUAGUGGACACUGCUUUCUUUGCCUCUUUUUUGAAAAGCACAGUGAAUUCAUAAUGGUGCAUAAUGAUUCUGUCCGCUUUUGGUGAUGAAUCCAUCUUCUUUAUUGUUAAGGUAUUAUGUAGUUUAAUGUAUUUGUUCUCAUUUUCUCCAUUAAAGUGUGCCUUCUGCUCUGCUUUGUUGGGAUAUUCAAGUUGCCAUUAACCAGGUGGAUGGGGCAUGAUUCCUAGUUUGACCACAUACUGUGUCAAUUAUGGGUCAUGUUCAUUAGGAUAUGCCGCGGAAAACAUGAAUUACAAUGGAAAACAAAAGGAGUGUUUCUGAUUGGACAAAUACAGGUGGUUCCUCUGUUUGUCCGUUUUCUUCCACUUUGUGCCUAAUGAACAUAACUCUAACCUGGACCUCCCUGAUCUGUUAUUGGUCUGAUUGAUCUGAUUCAGUAACUAUGACAGUCUGCUGCUAUUCCUCAUAUGUUGUUGUGUAGAACACUUGAUUUUUGUCUGUCUGGUCUGUGUAAUUAAUAUUGACAGUUGUUUGGAUAGGAACAAAUUGUGUCACUUUGUAUCAGUCAGAUAUGUUAACGUCUGUAAUGAAAGACUAGGGUCUGGGAAGUGGGAACAUUUCCUCUUGAAUUUAAGAAAGUUCUACAGUGGCACAUGCCCAAUUAGGUAUGCAUUUCAUUCUAUUUUUGAUGUUUAGGCAACUUUAAGCAAUGGUUUAUCUGGAACUUACAGGAUAAAAUAUGUCCUGUAUAACAAUUUCUUUCUCAAUGGGAAUGAAACGGCAACCAAGCUUGUUAGCAUACAAAAUAGGAGUAUUUUUUAUUUAAUUGAACUAGGCAAGUCAGUUAACACAUUCUUAUUUACAAUGACGGCCUAACGUUUUGGUUAUAACUGAAUAGGUUAUGUCGGUAAUUGUUUAAAGGUCUAUUUUCUACAACAUUUAUAUUUUAUUGCCUUUGUUUUUGAACCAGAUCGUAUUUACCAAGCAUGCCAAAGAUGAUUCACAAUGUUCUUAUUCUCUGUUCUAAAAAAAUAAAAAUAAUAAUUGCAUUGUGACUCCAGAAAUGAUGGUGUCAGUCUCCCCAUGUUGCUGCUGUAUCUGCAUUAGCUUACCCAUUGUACCAAGUCACUGAGCCAAUUGAUUAGGAUACAUUUUUGAAACUGUUGUGAAUUUGGUUACAAUAAUUAUGUCAAAUGAUGUAGGUGGAGUUAAUUAAAAUCAUCCCUGUGUUCUCUCCAGUUUCUGAUGAUGUAAACCGAUCCAGUCUCAUUGUGGUAAUGAUCAAUGUAUGGUAGUUACUGUCACAGAUUUACCUUUGUUACAUGUGGUUUAUCUUAAAAUGGAAGUAUUUGAUACAGCUCUUUGCACUGUUUUAAGUGUAAUGUGAUGCUCGUCUUUGAAGAUGUUGGAGAUGGCACACACUCAUUGUCUUAUGUACAGUUUUACUUUCAAUAAACAAAUCUUGAAAAGGAUG